GUGAGGAAUAUUGCGCAAUGGAGGCAACUCUGACGCAGCCAUGCCGCGUGCAGGAAGAAGGCGCUACGCGUUGUAAACUGCUUUUAACCGGGAAGAAACCCCAGGACGUGUCCUGGGUUGACGGUACCGGAGGAAUAAGCACCGGCUAACUUCGUGCCAGCAGCCGCGGUAAUACGAAGGGUGCAAGCGUUAUCCGGAUUCAUUGGGUUUAAAGGGUGCGUAGGCGGAGCGUUAAGUCAGUGGUGAAAUCCUGCAGCUUAACUGUAGACUUGCCAUUGAUACUGGCGCUUUGAGUGCGCUUGAAGUGGGCGGAAUGUGCCGUGUAGCGGUGAAAUGCUUAGAUAUGGCACAGAACACCAAUUGCGAAGGCAGCUCACUAAGGCGAUACUGACGCUGAGGCACGAAAGCGUGGGGAUCGAACAGGAUUAGAUACCCGAGUAGUCC
rnacentral:rRNA from 1 species